GGUUUCAUAGUGUAGCAGUUAGCACGUCUGCUUUACAUGCAGAAGGUCCUGGAUUUAUGCCCCAGUGGAGCCA
rnacentral:tRNA from 1 species